AUACGUAGGGGGCGAGCGUUGUCCGGAAUGAUUGGGCGUAAAGGGCGCGUAGGCGGCCCGGUAUGUCUGGAGUGAUAGUCCUGUUGUUAAGAUGGGAAUUGCUUUGGAUACUGUCGGGCUUGAGUGCAUGAGAGGUAAGUGUAAUUCCCAGAGUAGCGGUGAAAUGCGUAGAGAUUGGGAGGAACACCAGUGGCGAAGGCGACUUACUGGACUGUAACUGACGCUGAGGCUCGAAAGUGUGGGGAGCAAACAGGAUUAGAUACCCUGGUAGUCCACACUGUAAACGAUGAAUGCUAGGUGUAGGGGGUAUCGACCCCUUCUGUGCCGCAGUCAACACAAUAAGCAUUCCGCCUGGGGAGUACGGCCGCAAGGUUGAAACUCAAAUGAAUUGACGGGG
rnacentral:rRNA from 1 species